ACUUAGCGGCGAACGGGUGAGUAACGCGUGAGCAACCUGCCCUUCAGACUGGGAUAACAGUGCGAAAGCGCUGCUAAUACCGGAUACGAAUGCACCAAUGCCUAUUGGUGUAAGGAAAGCGAUAGCGCUGAAGGAUGGGCUCGCGUCCCAUUAGCUAGUUGGUGAGGUAACGGCCCACCAAGGCGACGAUGGGUAGCCGGCCUGAGAGGGUGUACGGCCACACUGGGACUGAGACACGGCCCAGACUCCUACGGGAGGCAGCAGUAGGGAAUUUUGCUCAAUGGGGGAAACCCUGAAGCAGCGACGCCGCGUGAGCGAAGAAGGCCUUCGGGUCGUAAAGCUCUGUCAUUGGGGAAGAAAAGGACGGUACCCAAUGAGGAAGCCCCGGCUAACUACGUGCCAGCAGCCGCGGUAAUACGUAGGGGGCGAGCGUUGUCCGGAAUUAUUGGGCGUAAAGGGUGCGUAGGCGGAUAAGUAAGUCCGAUGUGAAAUGCUACGGCUUAACCGUGGAGUUGCAUUGGAAACUGCGUAUCUAGAGUACAGGA
rnacentral:rRNA from 1 species